rnacentral:misc_RNA from 1 species
GAUGAAGAACGCAGUAAAAUGCGAUAAUUAAUGUGAAUUGCAGAAUUCCGUGAAUCAUCGAGUCUUUGAACGCACAUUGCGCCUCAUGGCAUUCCGUGAGGCAUGCCCAUCUCAGCGUUAGAAAAUAUUCUCAAAUUUUAGUUUUGUGCUAAAAUUUGGAUCAUGUCAAGGAAGCUAUUACUAUUAUUGUGAUCGCUCUUUGGAAAUUGAUAGGUCUUUGAGUUGCUACUCAUAGAACGUGAUGAAUCUUUCUUCGUUCUAUUGUAAUUCACUCUGGUAGUCCUAAAACUUGUAUGCCUGUGGCAUAUCUUGUAAUUUGACCUGAGAUUGGGUAGGGAUACCCGCUGAACUUAAGCAUAUCAAUAAGCGGAGGA